CCGCCCGUCACGCCAUGGGAGCUGUGAGCGCCCGAAGUCCGUGUCGCAACCCGCAAGGGCAAGCGGCCGAAGGCGAGCGCAGUGACUGGGGCG
rnacentral:rRNA from 1 species